UACGGAGGGUGCAAGCGUCAUCCGGAUUCACUGGGUUUAAAGGGUGCGUAGGCGGGUUGGUAAGUCCGUGGUGAAAUCCCCAAGCUUAACUUGGGAACUGCCGUGGAUACUAUCAAUCUUGAAUAUCGUGGAGGUAAGCGGAAUAUGUCAUGUAGCGGUGAAAUGCUUAGAUAUGACAUAGAACACCAAUUGCGUAGGCAGCUUACUACACGAUCAUUGACGCUGAGGCACGAAAGCGUGGGGAGCAAACGGG
rnacentral:rRNA from 1 species